CGUCAAUUUCCGUGAAAAUUCUUAUGUUUCCAACAAUCUCAUUGGUUGAAACAUACUUACAUUUUGACAAUGAAGUUAUUUAUUCAAAAUUGUAAACAAAUGUACAAAUGUGCCUUAGAAAAUUGUGAGCCUCAAAUUAAAGUUGCACUAGAAAAUUAUUACAAGAUCAGAAGAAAAUAUGUCACAAAAAGGAAAAAGUACUAAUUUUACCGCUGUAGAAAAAAAAUAUUUUCUACAAAUUUUAAAAAAUUAUGCACAAGUAAUAGAAAAUAAAAAGAGUGAUGCUGCUACAUUAAGUGAAAAAAAAGAAGCAUGGGAUUUCAUCGCAACCGACUUUAAUUCAUCUAGUAUAAUUACUGAGAAGCGAAACGCAGAUCAACUCAAAAAACUUUGGUCAAAUCUAAAAACAAAACAACGGAAUGCGCUGACAACCAAAAGCAACAUCGCCUUGCAACUGGGGUCGGUCCAUCAAUUCCAGAUUCUGAAGUUGAUCCUGAUAUUUCCUUAUUGCCCCAAACUUAAUUAAAACUGCACCGAUUUUAUUUUCUUCAAAUAAGUCUGAAGAAGAAGUUACUAGGACGUUUUCAUCUUUUUUUUUUCCUUCUCUAAGUGUAAUGCUG